GCACCCAUAGCUUAACGGAUAGAGCAAUAGCCUUCUAAGCUAUUUGGUGUAGGUUCAACUCCUACUGGGUGUG
rnacentral:tRNA from 1 species